CCAAUUAUUUCACUUUACCCUUUCUCUCUCUCUCUUUAGAAAACUCUAACGUCUCUGUCUCUUCGUCUCUCUGCUUCAACUCCUUCAGCUCCUUCACUUUCCGCUUCAACUCCAUCUCCAUUGUUGCCGUCUCCAUCAUCUCAGCGUCAAGCUCCAAUUUUAAUUUCCAAAAGGGUAGAUAAAAUGACUCCAAGACAAAAAUGAACAAUUGCUACUACUACUACCAAAAAGUAUAGAAGGAAAAUUAGUACACAAAGACAAAGAGAAGAAGAAGAAAGUACCAGAUUAGAAAAGUCCAUAGAAGAAGUUGAAAACACAAGAUUGGAAACUUCUUUAAAUGAAGAAAGAGAACGUGUAAUAAAUGCUUUUUCUACAAAUGUAGAAGGAGAUGAUAGAGGAGGAAUAACAUGAUAUACAUAUUCCAGAGAAGGAGACAUUUUCUAUUGCUGAGCCUUCUCCGGUUAGUUCUUCAAUUGAUACUUUCUUUGUGAAGCCGAUUAGGUAUGCAAAUUACAGUUUUAAGUCAAUGAUUGAUUUGUAUUCAGAUUUCAGAGGUUCUUUACUGUUAAGU